CUAAGAAGCAGCAACAAGCAGAAGAAGAAGUCUGUGCUGUGAAGAACUGCGCCCAAGAAAUAUCACUGAGAAGGUACAAACCGACAUUAUCCAGGCAUGGCUUUUGGGAAGGAAAACUCACUGCAGGCAAAUCUGCUUCAUUUUCAGUGCUGGAGAUUUUUAAGAGAAGAGCAGUCACUUGGAUCCUGCUCAGCUGGUCGUGUAACGCAGCCCGGAGAGCUUGCGCCGUGCUGUCCAGCUUAUUGAGGCAAAGUUGGCAUGGCAAGACUGGCAUGGCCCUGGCAGGAUCUGACCAGGCGCUGGCUGUGAUGGUGCUGUGGGCAGGCACAGAAUGCAUCUACACUGCCUGAGCCCAGGCAGGGGCUUGUCCAGAGCUUCCACCCUCACUUAAUACUUAUAUACUGACCUUCCCACCAAACCAGUCACCAGUCACUGUUUUCUGCAGUGUAGCUGGGGUGAUGGUGGGAGGCAGCAGGGAAAAGCACGUGCUGUGAGGUGGAGAGAUGAGAAACAUAAACCACAACUUCUUUUCACCUUUACUCACCUGCAUUGAGCUUUUUCUCUGAGUUCCAGUGGGCUGAAGGAGAUUUGUUCACACCAUCAUGAUCUGACUCUGCCAUGGAAUGGGGCAGGGUUGUCCACAUUCACAACUGAGAGAAAAUACAAGAUCUCAAAUACUUCUCCUCACCACCUCUAACUGAUUAUCUCCUGGGCUAAAUGGGCUGGAUAUGUCCUCACUGGGGCACUGGCUGUGGCUUGUAAGGCAAAAUCUCUGGGUAUCAAGCAUUCAGUACCAACAGAGCACUUCUCUACAAAAGCUUACAUUGCAUGUUGAGAAGACAGCCACAAGGAAGGAGAUACAAAUCCAGAGAGGGAAAGUGCUGAAGGCUUUUGAGCCAGAGAUGGUAUCAAGUACCUUGUGCUUGAUUUAUGGUUCUUGUUCUCCAGAAAGCUUUACUUCAAAUGGUAAAUUCCCCUGGGCGACUCUGAGCCCUUCCUAGCAGGCCUGGGUAAAUUUAAAGGGCUAAGAUUUGGGAUCCUAUCACUUGAGGGGAGCAUAAUCUUCAUGCUAAGUGUGAGCCCUAGCUGUGUGAAUCUUAAAGCCACAGCUAUAAGCAGAAAUAUUUUAUCCAUCUGGUGACCCUGUUAGGACACAGAGCAUCCCACAUAAGUCCCCUGCUAGUGCCUGUCUCUCAGGGAUUCCAGCUAGCCAUCCAGUAGCUUUCAGCUGAAGAGCUGGAAGCUGUGGCCCUCUUGCUGGAUGUCAGGAACCCCACUCAGCUGUGUUUGUGGUGUUGGGUCAUCUUAUGAGUGCUCACCCCACACUUACCUUGUCACCUUUUUCCUCUGCAUCAUGCUCUCCAUUGCAAAGGCUGCCAUACACCAAAAAAUCUCUGUCUGCAGUGAGGUUUAGGAAUAGAUUUUAAUAUCAUAAUUACAGCAUGUAAACAAAAUACCACUCGAUUAUUGAAACCAUAUUCAGUGAAGCUGAGCUCCCAUGCAAGAGAUACAUAUGAAUUUAAUUGCUGUUAAACCUCUGCAAAUGUGCUUUCAGAAAGGCACUGGGAAUAUUUAACACACAGAUCAAAACAACUACUGAAAUCUAGAGCUGAUGCUGGAGAUUAAUCAGCAGG